GACGAACGCUGGCGGCGUGCUUAACACAUGCAAGUCGAACGGAAAGGCCCUGCUUUUGUGGGGUGCUCGAGUGGCGAACGGGUGAGUAACACGUGAGUAACCUGCCAUUGACUUUGGGAUAACUUCAGGAAACUGGGGCUAAUACCGGAUAGGAGCUCCUGCUGCAUGGUGGGGGUUGGAAAGUUUCGGCGGUUGGGGAUGGACUCGCGGCUUAUCAGCUUGUUGGUGGGGUAGUGGCUUACCAAGGCUUUGACGGGUAGCCGGCCUGAGAGGGUGACCGGCCACAUUGGGACUGAGAUACGGCCCAGACUCCUACGGGAGGCAGCAGUGGGGAAUAUUGCACAAUGGGCGGAAGCCUGAUGCAGCCACGCCGCGUGCGGGAUGACGGCCUUCGGGUUGUAACCCGCUUUCGCCUGUGACGAAGCGUGAGUGACGGUAAUGGGUAAAGAAGCACCGGCUAACUACGUG
rnacentral:rRNA from 1 species